UUCAACUUUUGACCUCGGAUCAGGUAGGGAUACC
rnacentral:rRNA from 1 species